CAGUCGCCGCGGGAAUACGUAGGUGGCAAGCGUUGUCCGGAAUUAUUGGGCGUAAAGCGCGCGCAGGCGGAUCAGUCAGUCUGUCUUAAAAGUUCGGGGCUUAACCCCGUGAUGGGAUGGAAACUGCUGAUCUAGAGUAUCGGAGAGGAAAGUGGAAUUCCUAGUGUAGCGGUGAAAUGCGUAGAUAUUAGGAAGAACACCAGUGGCGAAGGCGACUUUCUGGACGAAAACUGACGCUGAGGCGCGAAAGCCAGGGGAGCGAACGGGAUUAGAUACCCGCGUAGUCCCUGUCUCUUAUACC
rnacentral:rRNA from 1 species